GACGAACGCUGGCGGCGUGCUUAACACAUGCAAGUCGAGCGGUAAGGCCCUCGGGUACGACGAGCGGCGAACGGGUGAGUAACACGUGGGUGACCUGCCUCUAGCUCUGGGAUAAGCCUGGGAAACUGGGUCUAAUACCGGAUAUGACUCCACGGCGCAUGUUGUGGGGUGGAAAGCCUUGUGUGGCUAGAGAUGGGCCCGCGGCCUAUCAGCUUGUUGGUGGGGUGAUGGCCUACCAAGGCGACGACGGGUAGCCGGCCUGAGAGGGCGACCGGCCACACUGGGACUGAGACACGGCCCAGACUCCUACGGGAGGCAGCAGGUGGGGAAUCUUGCGCAAUGGGCGAAAGCCUGACGCAGCGACGCCGCGUGAGGGAUGACGGCC
rnacentral:rRNA from 1 species